UAGUUUUAGUUUUACCCUAGGUUCUUAAUCUCUCAUGUCUCAAGCCCUUGAUUAUGUCAUUGGAGAGUCUACCACUCGCCGUCAAGCGUGCGUCAUCCCCCCCUUCGUCAUUCUCCGUCAAUUCAAUGGGAUUUGGCAGCUGGGUGAGAAUCCAAAUGGGUAGCGAACCGUUUUGGCGGAUUUUCCUGAUCCACAUGUGGGUAUGCAGGAUCUUCUCGAUUCUCUUUUUUUCCUCAUCGACGACAUCAUUAUCGUCGGACUGAGACUCCGAGUCACCGGCUCCACCUCCACCACCAUCUUUAGAGCUUAACAACCCUUAAGAACCGACCCCUACGCUGCCUCCACCUCCUCUAUCAUUUCUCAACAGCCCUAAUUCCUUCGGUAACCUUCGAUUCCCAUCAAUUUUCUAUCUUUUAGCUUUUCGUUGUGAUGGAUUUUUCCGAGUUGCGCAUCAAGUGUUUGAUAUGUUUUGCCUAUGAAGGCUGUUUUUGUUGUGAUGGCUUUUUCUGAUUCCCAUCAAUUUUCUAUCUUUUAGCUUUCUGUUGUGAAGGUUGUUUCCGUGAUUUUCUUCUCUCACAAAACCCAGCUCUCUUCUCACCCCAAAAAUGGAAAAAUAUGAAAUAUAAAACAAAACCCAAGUGGGUUUUUGUGCUGGAGCUCUGAAAUAGCCAACUGCUCAGAGGAAUUAGAUAAUGCAAUUGCAAAAUUGCAUCAAAAUUUCAAGAAUUGAGGUACCACCUUGAGAAGUCCUUCUUCGAGUAGGGCAGGGCCCUAUUGAAAUUUGAAGCUCAGUGGAAAGAUCUUAGCAGAGAAAAUGACCAGCGGCAGGUUCACCUACAACAAAUGGUAUCUAAUUAUUGUUCUCUCAACAUAAAUCAAGUUAACUUUGGUUUGCAUAUGGUGCAUUUUCGUGUUGAUUUGAAUGUGAUCUGAAUUUCAAGUUAGUGCAUUGCCAUUGGGGUUCUUCAAUCUUUACACUUAUUCUAGACUUCUAGUUGUUCCAGUACUUAUGUGAUAUUCAACGAAAUAAAAGGGAUCUAUCGGAUACUCCUCU